GGGGAAUAUUGGACAAUGGGCGAAAGCCUGAUCCAGCCAUGCCGCGUGAGUGACGAAGGUCUUCGGAUUGUAAAGCUCUUUUGGCGGGGAAGAUAAUGACGGUACCCGCAGAAUAAGCCCCGGCUAACUUCGUGCCAGCAGCCGCGGUAAUACGAAGGGGGCUAGCGUUGUUCGGAAUCACUGGGCGUAAAGCGCACGUAGGCGGAUUUGUCAGUCAGGGGUGAAAUCCCGGGGCUCAACCUCGGAACUGCCUUUGAUACAGCAAGUCUAGAGUCCGGAAGAGGUGAGUGGAAUUCCUAGUGUAGAGGUGAAAUUCGUAGAUAUUAGGAAGAACACCAGUGGCGAAGGCGGCUCACUGGUCCGGCACUGACGCUGAGGUGCGAAAGCGUGGGGAGCAAAC
rnacentral:rRNA from 1 species